rnacentral:lncRNA from 8 species
UGCAUCAGUCCCACCAAACAUAUAUCCUUAACUACCCCUGUCAAGUCUGGGAAAUUUUCUUUACUCAAACAAUGCGGUUUACCUUGCACUAAGUGUGCUCCUAUUCAUCCCGUGUGGAGUGUUGGUCCCAUAAAAAUAAGUAUCACCCGUCCACACAGACGACAAAAUCGACACCUUUUGCUUUUUUUCCGUUUUCGUUGUCCCAUUAAAUCAGCAAACCAGGCGGAUCCGUGCGUGGACAAAAUAAGAAGCCUCAAUACAAUUCUCCAACCGAAAUGGGAAACACUUGGUGCGUUAUUUUGCUAUCGUUUCCCUCCUGAUUUGUUUCCUGUAGAACAACACAGUCAGCUUUCAGCCAUUCCUCACGUUUCCUUCCUUUGCUCCCUGCCACCAGCAGCCCGCUUUUUCUUGCUCACUCGAUAAAAAAAAAACACUCCCCACUGAGAGACAACGGAACGAUUUCCUAUCGGUUCCCAAGAUCCAAACGGUGAGUGUGACUCAUUGCCUUAUGCAACACAAAGCUCAUGGUUCUUCAAGCUUUCUCAGCGCUUUCCUUCUGCCUCUCUCUCUCUCUCUCUGUUCCUCAAUGGUGCCGAGUUUCAAGGGUAGACUGAAUGUCCUCUUCCAUUCAGCUGCUAUUUUGGUCUCCAUGUCAACAAGAUGUGAGUCGCCACACAAAAGAAACACCUAUUUCAUGGACACUACCUGAAAUGUGUCACUAUACAGCACACAAGUGAAAUUGUUGUAUUACCUGGCUCAUUAUCUUGCAAUCCCAAUAUGCACAACACCUCCCUAUGCAUACUGCAGAACACUUGUAUUAUAAUUAUUUUAAAGCUGUAUUGUUGUUACCAAGAAUAUUAUCAGGAUGUACACUUGAUAGUAUAUGUUAAUGUGUUACCACCACCCACUGCGACCUGUAUGCUCUAGUCGGCUGGCCCUCGCUACAUAUUCGUCGCCAGACCCACUGGCUCCAGAUCAUCUAUAAGUCUAUGCUAGGUAAAGCUCCGCCUUAUCUCAGCUCACUGAUCACGAUAACAACACCCACCCGUAGCACACGCUCCAGCAGGUAUAUCUCACUGGUCAUCCCCAAAGCCAACACCUCCUUUGGCUGCCUUUCCUUCCAGUUCUCUGCUGCCAAUGACUGGAACGAAUUGCAAAAAUCGCUGAAGCUGGAGAUUUAAAUUUCCCUCACUAACUUUAAACAUCAGCUAUCUGAGCAGCUAACUGAUCGCUGCAGCUGUACAUAGCCCAUCUGUAGAUAGCCCACCCAAUCUACCUACCUCAUCCCCAUAUUGUUUUUAUUUACUUUUCUGCUCUUUUGCACACCAGUAUUUCUACUUGCACAUCACCAUCUGCUCAUCUGUCACUCCAGUGUUAAUUUGCUAAAUUGUAAUUACUUCGCUACUAUGGCCUAUUUAUUGCCUUACCUCCUCACGCCCUUUGCACACACGGUAUAUAGACUUUCUUUUUUUUCUAUUGUGUUAUUGACUGUACGCUUGUUUAUUCCAUGUAUGUUGUUGUUUGUGUCGCACUGCUUUGCUUUAUCUUGGCCAGGCAGCAGUUGUAAAUGAGAACUUGUUCUCAGCUAGCUUACCUGGUUAAAUAAAGGUGAAAUAAAUAAAUAAAAAUAAAAUAAAAAU